rnacentral:lncRNA from 1 species
AUGAAGUUGUGUGUAAGAAAAUAAAAAUAACUCUGGAAAACCGUAUUGAACACAUGAGGAAAGGGGGGUGUAGUUGUGCAGUGAAAGCCCAGACAGCAGCUGAAAUCUCUCAGUAGUUGUUCAGCAAUCCUCCGCUCUUCCUCAGUGUAAAUGAAGAUCAGCUGCUUCAGUCCAACAUCUACAUCAGCAGGAGGAUGAAGAUCAAACCAGGGUGGACAUUUCAGCAAGACACAGACAUUUUGAUCCGCAGACAUUUGAUCCAAAACACAGCCAAGGAGACUCUCAGAUGCUUUCAGAGAAAGAAAAUCAAGCUGUAGAAUGGCCCAGCCAAUCCCCUGACCCGAAUCCAAUAGAGAAUACAGAAUACAGCUCAGAUUUGAUAGACGAGACCCACAGAAGCAUCAAGAUUCUGACACUCUGUUGAAGUCUGUGAGAAACUCACCCCUGAGCAGUGCAUGAGGCUUCAUUCUCCACAUGAGAGGUGUCUUUCAGCUGCCGUCACUAAUAAAGUCUAUAUAUAAAGUAUUAAACACAUUUCAGUAGUUCAGCGCUUUCUCAUUCUGUCAUUCCAUACUUAUUAAACACAAUUCUUUUUUUAUUAUUAGUUUUAUUUUUAUGUUUUAUUGUUUGAGUUUUUACCAAAAUCUUCUUCAGUUCCAUGUCAACAGCUCCGUUAGAGAUAUUAUUCUGAGGAAAAACACAUGAGGUGUUCAAUACUUAUUUCCUCCACUGUAUGUAGAUUGCUGUAUGUGUUUCCCAGUAUCAUGCAGACCUAAUUUUAAUGUCCAUUAUGAUCAGUUUAAUGUAUCCUUGAUUAAUAACAAUACUGAUUUCCCUAAUCAGGUCCAUGUGCAUGACGGCCAGGUAUGAGUGCUACGAGGCCAGCCGUGUGCUCUUCUACGCUGACAGCAUCUCCACCUGCUGGUUCGUCCUUCUGUCGGGAUCAGUGCUGGUGAAGGAGCACAUGUAUCUGGCCCGGUGCUGUUUUGGGACACAGCGUGGAGGAAGACGAGGCUGUGAAUGCAUCACUCUAGAGCCGUCAGAGAUGAUUGUGGUGAGUGGAGCAACACAAAGACACACACACACACACACACACACACAUCCUCCAAUAGCAGACGAAGAUGAAGCUCAGGCUGACUGGACACAGGAUGAAGCACACACACACACACACACACACACACAUGCUUCCAAGACCAUUCAUCAGUAGGUAGUGUGUACUAAAGUGAGCACUAGUAAGGGCACUGAUGAGCUUGGUUCACUACACUGAGUGUGACAUGAGAGCGUCCUCAUCACAACUGUCCAUCAUCAACACUGGAGUUCAUAAACGAGCAACAUUGAAACCAUUAAACAGUUUUACCUGUUUGCUGGAUUGUCUCUAACCUCACCUGUCUAGCUCUGUUUGUUCAUGUGUAAAUAUUCAUGUGUUUUGCAACAUGUAAUGAAUUUGUGCUUUGCUGUGACUUACACUGGCCACAUGAAGCCAUCAGAGUGGACACAGAGGGGUGAACUGUGGCGCAUCUUAGUGCACAAUACAGUAUAUUAUUAUCUGUUAAUGUGACUGAAAACCAAAUAUAAGAUAUAAGCAAAACUCUAUAUUUGAAUUCUAAAGGCGAUCCUUAAUGUUACAGGAAAAGUAGAGCACUGUCUGCUAUUCCCACAAGAGGGCGCAACCGAGCAAAAUAAGCAGGCAAAAACAGAUUAAUGCAUCACAUCUAUUAAAAUGAAAUGACGCUCACUUUUUAAAGCGCAUAAACUUACAAACAACUGUUCUUAAUAAAACACAAUUUACUUAAUGUGAAUGAAAGGGAAAUUAGGACUAAAGUAAACUGAAGCUAUCGAUUUUAUUUAUUAUUUAUUUUAUUUUGGCUAGAAUAAAAACAGUUGUUCAUUGAUUUAAAGCCAUUUUAGGCUCAAUAUUAUUGGCCCUUUCAGCAAUAUUAGUGUUGGAUUUUCUCCAGAACAAACCACUGUUAUACAAUGACUUGCCUAAUUACCCUAACUUUACCCUAAUUACCCUAGUAAAGCCUUUACAUGUCACUUUAAGCUGAACACUAGUGUCUUGAGGAAUAUCUAGUCUAAUAUUAUGUGCUGUCAUCAUGGCAGAGAGACAAUAAAUCAGUUAUUAGAGAUGAGUUAUUAACACUAUUAUGAUUAGAAAUGUGCUGAAGAAAUCUGCUCUACGUUAAACAGAAAUUGGGAAAAUAAAUAUUCAGGAUGGAUAAUCAUUCUGUCUUCAACUGUGUGUACAAUAUAGAGUUUCAGUGAUACUCUUCAGUCGAGUCAUCAUCCUCUUCUCUGUUCCUCUGGGUUCUGCAAACUCUUAAGUGGCAUUUUCCAUGAACACACACUUUUAUCUGAAGUGACCUGCUAAUGAGGAACUCCUUAAAGCCGCAUGUGAUGCUGUGUAGCCCGAACAGGCCAUUUUAGUACAGUAGAGUUUCUGCAGACCUGUGAACAGCUCUCUGUAUAACCCUGCUGCUGUCCACUAGACUUUUUCAUUAGUGAUGCACCAAUCCUGAUUUUCCAUGGCGGAUUUUGAUAUUUCUAUUAGCAAAUUGGAUGAUUUGAUACAUAUUUUGGUCACACUUUACAAUAAGGUUCAUUAGUUAAUGUUAAUUAAUGCCUUUACUAACAUGAACAAACAAUGAACAGUACAUUUACUACAGUAUUUGUUCAUGUUAGUUAACAUUAGUUAAUGAAAAUACAGUAGUUCAUUGUUACUUCAUGUUAACUCAUGGUGCAUUAACUAAUGUUAACAAGCAUGGACUUGGAUGUUAAUAAUGCUUUAGUAAAUGUUCAGUUAUGAUUAAUAAAUGCUGUACAUGUGUUGUUCAUGAUUAGUUCAUGUUAGUAAAUGCAUUAAUAAUGAACUUUAUUGUAAAGUGUUUCCCAUAUUUUCUAUGUUUUAGCAAAAUCAGUGAUUCGAUAGCAAUUUUUGUUUUUAUUCACUAGCAAAUUAAAUUAGAUUUGUUACAGAUUUCUGAUGUUUUACUCAGAUACUUUUUACUUAGAUAUUUUUACUAGCAAACUAGAC